GGGGGCGAAAUGGUUUCGACGGAGAUUUUGAAGCCUACGGUAGCAUGCCGAGUCGUUUGUCAGCUCGUAAACUUGACAAAGCAUAAACAUAAUCGCAGACGAUUAUAAUUACGCCGUAGCUGCUUAACACCAGCUGCCGUCCUGCUGAGAUCCCUCUUGCAGAUCUCAGGCCAGGGCGUCGACUUUGCAAGACCGCUGUUCAGGCUGCCUGAGACUGAACAGUUGAAUUAUUCAGGCUACACCCUGCGGUAUCCCUCCUGAAGGAGACGGCAGGGCCAAUAUCAAAGUUCAGGAUAAGCAUGUAGAAGCCUGGGAUGAUGGUUUUCGGACGCGGGUUCAACUCCCGCCGCCUCCACCA
rnacentral:tmRNA from 1 species